rnacentral:rRNA from 1 species
ACGCUGAGGCUCGAAAGCGUGGGUAGCGAACAGGAUUAGAUACCCUGGUAGUCCACGCCGUAAACGAUGAGUGCUAGGUGUUAGGCCCUUUCCGGGGCUUAGUGCCGGAGCUAACGCAAUAAGCACUCCGCCUGGGGAGUACGACCGCAAGGUUGAAACUCAAAGGAAUUGACGGGGGCCCGCACAAGCGGUGGAGCAUGUGGUUUAAUUCGAAGCAACGCGAAGAACCUUACCAGGUCUUGACAUCCCGAUGCUAUUCUUAGAGAUAGGAAGUUACUUCGGUACAUCGGAGACAGGUGGUGCAUGGUUGUCGUCAGCUCGUGUCGUGAGAUGUUGGGUUAAGUCCCGCAACGAGCGCAACCCUUAUUGUUAGUUGCCAUCAUUAAGUUGGGCACUCUAGCGAGACUGCCGGUAAUAAACCGGAGGAAGGUGGGGAUGACGUCAAAUCAUCAUGCCCCUUAUGACCUGGGCUACACACGUGCUACAAUGGUCGGUACAACGAGUUGCGAGCCGGUGACGGCAAGCUAAUCUCUGAAAGCCGAUCUCAGUUCGGAUUGGAGGCUGCAACUCGCCUCCAUGAAGUCGGAAUCGCUAGUAAUCGCGGAUCAGCACGCCGCGGUGAAUACGUUCCCGGGCCUUGUACACACCGCCCGUCACACCACGAGAGUUUGUAACACCCGAAGUCGGUGA